AGGAGAGUUUGAUCCUGGCUCAGGAUUAGAUACCCUGGUAGUCCAGAAUUCGGCUUAGAGUUUGAUCCUGGCUCAGAACGAACGCUGGCGGCAGGUCUUAGGCAUGCAAGUCGAACGGAUGACAGAGAGCUUGCUCUCUGAAGUCAGUGGCGCACGAGUGAGUAACGCGUGGGAAACUGCCCUUCACUGGGGAAUAACGUUUGGAAACGAACGCUAAUACCGCAUACGCCCGCAAGGGGAAAGAUUUAUCGGUGAUGGAUGUGCCCGCGUUGGAUUAGCCAGUUGGUGGGGUAAUGGCCUACCAAAGCAAUGAUCCAUAGCUGGUCUGAGAGGACGAUCAGCCACGCUGGAACUGAGACACGGUCCAGACUCCUACGGGAGGCAGCAGCUAAGAAUAUUGGGCAAUGGAGGAAACUCUGACCCAGCCAUGCCGCGUGAAUGAAGAAGGCCUUCGGGUUGUAAAGUUCUUUUAGUCAUGAAGAUGAUGACAGUAGUGACAGAAAAAGCACCGGCUAACUUCGUGCCAGCAGCCGCGGUAAUACGAAGGGUGCAAGCGUUGUUCGGAUUUACUGGGCGUAAAGCGUCCGUAGGUGGUUUGUUAAGUCAGGGGUGAAAUCCCAGGGCCCAACCCUGGAACUGCCUUUGAUACUGGCAAGCUGGAGCGCGAUAGAGGAAGAUGGAAUAUCUGGUGUAGGGGUGAAAUCCGUAGAUAUCAGAUAGAACACCAAUGGCGAAGGCAGUCUUCUGGAUCGUCGCUGACACUGAGGGACGAAAGCGUGGGUAGCAAACAGAAUUAGAUACCCUGGUAGUCCCCU
rnacentral:rRNA from 1 species